rnacentral:rRNA from 1 species
GUGGGGAAUAUUGGACAAUGGGCGAAAGCCUGAUCCAGCCAUGCCGCGUGUGUGAAGAAGGUCUUCGGAUUGUAAAGCACUUUAAGUUGGGAGGAAGGGUAGUAACCUAAUACGUUGCUACUUUGACGUUACCGACAGAAUAAGCACCGGCUAACUUCGUGCCAGCAGCCGCGGUAAUACGAAGGGUGCAAGCGUUAAUCGGAAUUACUGGGCGUAAAGCGCGCGUAGGUGGUUCAGUAAGUUGGAAGUGAAAGCCCCGGGCUCAACCUGGGAACUGCUUUCAAAACUGCUGAGCUAGAGUACGGUAGAGGGUGGUGGAAUUUCCUGUGUAGCGGUGAAAUGCGUAGAUAUAGGAAGGAACACCAGUGGCGAAGGCGGCUCACUGGCUCGAUACUGACGCUGAGGUGCGAAAGCGUGGGGAGCAAACAGGAUUAGAUACCCCAGUAGUCC